GACGAACGCUGGCGGCGUGCUUAACACAUGCAAGUCGAGCGGUAAGGCCCUUUCGGGGGUACACGAGCGGCGAACGGGUGAGUAACACGUGGGUGACCUGCCCUCAGCUCUGGGAUAAGCCUGGGAAACCGGGUCUAAUACUGGAUAUGACUCCAUGACGCAUGUUGUGGGGUGGAAAGCCUUGUGCGGCUGAGGAUGGGCCCGCGGCCUAUCAGCUUGUUGGUGGGGUGANGGCCUACCAAGGCGACGACGGGUAGCCGGCCUGAGAGGGCGACCGGCCACACUGGGACUGAGACACGGCCCAGACUCCUACGGGAGGCAGCAGUGGGGAAUCUUGCGCAAUGAGCGAAAGCCUGACGCAGCGACGCCGCGUGAGGG
rnacentral:rRNA from 1 species